rnacentral:RNase_P_RNA from 1 species
CAAGUAAGCCAGACAAUCGCUGCUGCUAAUUAAUAAUUAGCAGGAGAGGAAAGUCCGAGCUCCAUAGGGCAGGGUGCUGGGUAACUCCCAGUGGAGGCGACUCUAAGGAAAGUGCAACAGAGAUAUACCGCUAAAGGCAGCAUCAGCUGUACUAGCAAGGGUGGAAAGGCGAGGUAAGAGCUCACCAGCGCAAUGGCGACUUUGCGGCUAUGUAAACCCCAUCUGGAGCAAGAUCGAAUAGGGAGGUAUCUCACAGGAUUUCCUGAUGAGAAGGGACGGCCCGUCCUGCCUCCGGGUAGUAUCGCUUGAGCUUAUUGGUAACAAUAAGCCUAGAUAGAUGAUUGUCAAAUACAGAACUCGGCUUACAGACUUACUUGUACC